UACAGGGGGUGCAAACGUUGCUCGGAAUUAUUGGGCGUAAAGCGCGCGUAGGCGGCCGCUUAAGUCGGAUGUGAAAGCCCCUGGCUCAACUAGGGAAGUGCACCCGAAACUGAGUGGCUUGAGUACUAAAGAGGGUCGCGGAAUUCCCGGUGUAGAGGUGAAAUUCGUAGAUAUCGAGAGGAACACCGGUGGCGAAGGCGGCCUUCUGGACAGCAACUGACGCUGAGACGCGAAAGCGUGGGGAGCAAACAGG
rnacentral:rRNA from 1 species